rnacentral:rRNA from 1 species
UACGGGGGGGCAAGCGUUGUUCGGAAUUACUGGGCGUAAAGGGCUCGUAGGCGGCCAACUAAGUCAGACGUGAAAUCCCCAGGCUCAACCUGGGAACUGCGUCUGAUACUGGAUGGCUUGAAUCCGGGAGAGGGAUGCAGAAUUCCAGGUGUAGCGGUGAAAUACGUAGAUAUCUGGAGGAAUACCGGUGGCGAAGGCGGCAUCCUGGACCGGCAUUGACGCUGAGGAGCGAAAGCCAGGGGAGCAAACGGG